CUGGUUGAUCCUGCCAGACCCGACUGCUAUCAGAGUGGGACUAAGCCAUGCGAGUCAACAUAGCAAUAUGUGGCAUACGGCUCAGUAACACGUAGUCAACAUGCCCAGGGGACGUGGAUAACCUCGGGAAACUGAGGAUAAACCGCGAUAAGUCACUACUUCUGGAAUGGGUAAUGACUCAAAUCUAUAUGGCCCCUGGAUUGGACUGCGGCCGAUCAGGCUGUUGGUGAGGUAAUGGCCCACCAAACCUGUAACCGGUACGGGCUCUGAGAGGAGGAGCCCGGAGAUGGGCACUGAGACAAGGGCCCAGGCCCUAUGGGGCGCAGCAGGCGCGAAACCUCUGCAAUAGGCGAAAGCCUGACAGGGUUACUCUGAGUGAUUUCCGUUAAGGAGAUCUUUUGGCACCUCUAAAAAUGGUGCAGAAUAAGGGGUGGGCAAGUCUGGUGUCAGCCGCCGCGGUAAUACCAGCACCCCGAGUGGUCGGGACGUUUAUUGGGCCUAAAGCAUCCGUAGCCGGUUCUACAAGUCUUCCGUUAAAUCCACCUGCUCAACAGAUGGGCUGCGGAAGAUACUAUAGAGCUAGGAGGCGGGAGAGGCAAGCGGUACUCGAUGGGUAGGGGUAAAAUCCGUUGAUCCAUUGAAGACCACCAGUGGCGAAGGCGGCUUGCCAGAACGCGCUCGACGGUGAGGGAUGAAAGCU
rnacentral:rRNA from 1 species